GGCCUCUUUCCAUGGGGCUGCAGGGGUUUCCUUUCCCCUCAGACAGGGCUGGAGGCCAAGAGCAACCCUUGAGGAUCAUUGUUGGGCUGUCAGAGCUGGGCAGCCUUGUUUUCCUACUUUGAACAUUU